rnacentral:rRNA from 1 species
AACGCGAAGAACCUUACCUGGGCUCGAAAUGUAGUGGACUGGGGUAGAAAUAUCCCUUUCUCGCAAGAGACUGCUAUAUAGGUGCUGCAUGGCUGUCGUCAGCUCGUGUCGUGAGAUGUUGGGUUAAGUCCCGCAACGAGCGCAACCCUUAUCCCUAGUUGCCAUCGGGUCAAGCCGGGCACUCUAGUGAAACCGCCCCGGAUAACGGGGAGGAAGGUGGGGAUGACGUCAAGUCCUCAUGGCCUUUAUGUCCAGGGCUACACACGUGCUACAAUGGUCGGUACAAACCGUCGCAAACCCGCGAGGGGGAGCUAAUCGGAAAAAGCCGGCCUCAGUUCGGAUUGGAGUCUGCAACUCGACUCCAUGAAGCUGGAAUCGCUAGUAAUCGCGGAUCAGAACGCCGCGGUGAAUACGUUCCCGGGCCUUGUA